UUGCUGAGCAAAAAUGAAGGAGCCUGGACCCAACUUUGUUACUGUGAGAAAGGGUCUUCAUUCAUUCAAGAUGGCUUUUGUGAAGCACCUACUUCAUCGUGGAAGAUGAAGGCUGGCUCAUACAUUUUCCCAGACAGGAAUUUGGCUGCCAACAGGGAAUUCUGAACAACUGAAAACUCCAGAUGAAUGCACAACAUAAUGAUGGUUAAAUUAAAAAAAAAAAAAAA